rnacentral:rRNA from 1 species
UGCGAAGGGGGCUAGCGUUGCUCGGAAUCACUGGGCGUAAAGCGCACGUAGGCGGAUUGUUAAGUCAGGGGUGAAAUCCUGGAGCUCAACUCCAGAACUGCCUUUGAUACUGGCGAUCUUGAGUUCGGGAGAGGUGAGUGGAACUGCGAGUGUAGAGGUGAAAUUCGUAGAUAUUCGCAAGAACACCAGUGGCGAAGGCGGCUCACUGGCCCGAUACUGACGCUGAGGUGCGAAAGCGUGGGGAGCAAACAGG